AGGCAGCAGGCGCGUAAAUUACCCAAUGUGGACUCCACGAGGUAGUGACGAGAAAUAUCAAUGCGGGGCGCUUCGCGUCUUGCUAUUGGAAUGAGAGCAAUGUAAAACCCUCAUCGAGGAUCAACUGGAGGGCAAGUCUGGUGCCAGCAGCCGCGGUAAUUCCAGCUCCAGAAGCGUAUGCUAAAGUUGUUGCAGUUAAAAAGCUCGUAGUUGAAUUUCUGGCGGGGGAGCCCAGGCCUCGGUGCGAAUGUGCCUUGUWUUSSCUUGGGGKYUCCUUKSCCWYCCYYGCUAWUUUYWRAUAGACGUCUUUCACUGUAAUCAAAGCAGAGUGUUCCAAGCAGGCCGUAGGGCCGGUAUGUUUAUUAUGGGAUGAUCAGAUAGGACUCGGGUGCUAUUUUGUUGGUUUGCACAUCUGAGUAAUGAUUAAUAGGAACAGUCGGGGGUAUCCGUAUUUAGGAGCUAGAGGAGAAAUUCUUGGAUUUCCGAAAGACGAACUACAGCGAAGGCAUUUACCAAGCAUGUUUCAUAAUCAAGA
rnacentral:rRNA from 1 species